rnacentral:tRNA from 4 species
GCACCCGUAGCUCAGCUGGAUAGAGUACCUGACUACGAAUCAGGGGGUCACACGUUCGAAUCGUGUCGGGUGCACCA